rnacentral:rRNA from 1 species
CCUACGGGAGGCAGCAGUGAGGAAUAUUGGUCAAUGGCCGAGAGGCUGAACCAGCCAAGUCGCGUGAGGGAAGACGGCCCUACGGGUUGUAAACCUCUUUUGUCGGGGAGCAAAGCGAACCACGUGUGGUUCAUUGAGAGUACCCGAAGAAAAAGGAUCGGCUAACUCCGUGCCAGCAGCCGUGGUAAUACGGAGGAUGCGAGCGUUAUCCGGAUUUAUUGGGGUUAAGGGGUGCGCAGGCGGAGGUGCAAGUCAGCGGUAAAAUUGCGGGGCUCAACCCCGUACUGCCGUUGAAACUGCAUCCCUUGAGUGCGCGAGAAGUAUGCGGAAUGCGUGGUGUAGCGGUGAAAUGCAUAGAUAUCACGCAGAACUCCGAUGGCGAAGGCAGCAUACCGGCGCGCAACUGACGCUCAUGCACGAAAGCGUGGGUAUCGAACAGGAUUAGAUACCCUUGUAGUC